GUGCCCUUUUAAGGUUGACGCAGUACCUUAGGAGGCUAACACAGAAGGGUAAAGUAAGUCUCCAUAAAACCCAGAGAAGAGAUGGUAAAACUCCUCUUUGGAUCCUGUCUGGAGUCACAGAU